AAAACUCUAUUUAAAUAACAUCUAUUUAAAAAUUUAAAUCAGAUGGACCCUUGAUCCAAUAUCACUGUCUCCACUCCAGCUUAUAAUUGAGCAUUGUACUGUGUUUGUUUACUUUAACACCGAAGCUAAGCCAACAAUGGCAUACAGUUGGAAUGGGGCCGAUUGAUGGGGUGGAGACAUAAUUCCAACUUCUGAGGGUGAGGGCUGACUCAAUCAAAAGAUAGAAUAAUGGUCAUGGGACCAAUUUUUUUUUUUUUUUUCUCUCAGUGCACAUCACUGCUCUCGGGUCAGAAUUCUUUGCCCCGUCGAGCAAAAGAAAUGUCCAUGGCACUCAAUUGUAUUUAUCCAUAAUCUGCAUGCUUGAGGCUUCUUUUUUGGCUUAAAAGUUCCACAAAUUAGGUAUAAAACUUUUGUUCCAGAGCAACCUGUUUGUGAAAGGUUCUUCUUGGAUUUGACAAAUGCAUUUAGUUCGGUAAAUGUAAUUUACAGGGACAAAAUUACCUCUGCACAUUACAUUAUUCUAAAUUGACCAGGAGAAGGCUCUCAAGUCAAUUCACAAUUUAACUAGUGGUCGAUCAAAUGAUUGCUACUUCUCCCUCUGCAUUGUCCUGUUCUUUCUGGAAUUAUUUAAGAACCAUCCAAAUAGAAAUAAGUGGAUGGCAUCGCUGGUAUUCCACUAAAAUGAGCUCAAUCAUGAUAAAUAAUUAUCCCCCCCGCGUCAUUCUCCAUCACAUAACUAACAUGCACAGUGAAGUUGAAAUCUUGUGCUCUUCCCCACUGAGCAAUUUCGAUCUUUCACUUAUGGGAGCCCCUUGUUGUUUUCUGAAAAACGAUGGUGAGAAAGCAAUAUCAAAAUUUAAAGCGAUUCACUCAUAGGUCCACGCUAGGGUGGGGAGGUUACUGAGAGUGAGAGUGAGAAAAAGACCUGCUUUGCUUUCAUAAAACAGCGGUCCCAAAACCACUUUUCCUUUGGCCCAUCCAGGUAUCCAACGCAAGCAAUGGUCUUACAGGUUUCACGACUCUCCAUAUUCUUCUCAAAUGCACAAACACUCGAGAGAGCAACCGCGGAUAUUUAUUUGUAAAUAUGUUACAUGUGCACCUAAUUCUGCAUUUUUGUUUAAUAUUUUCAGCCGCCGGACAAAAGAAUAUGGACUCCACGGGGCAGCAAUUCCAUUCCCAUUGUAUGCAUAAGAAAUAAAUAUCUCUACGGAAUAAUCUGCCCCUCGAUGUUGACCCGUGCUAUAUGAUACAAUAAUCGAGUUGUGCUCAUAUCCACGGCUCAGGAAUUUCCGCGAUGCGAUUCUCUGAUUCAAGUGAGUCGUACUGGUAUCACGCAAUCAUUACCAAUGUCUUUAUUUACCAGUUAGCUGCAGUUUUACUUAUAGAUCAGGUUCUCAAACUCCCCUAGUCUUUGGUUUUACAUACAGUUAUUAUAGCUGAUGUCGAGGUAAAAUCCAGGUAUAUAUCCUAAUCAGAAGUGCAGCAAGCCAAAAGUUGAAAUCAAGCAACAAGCUGACUAAUCCCAUCAGUCCAUCAGCCACACAAAGUAUUACAGGGCAAGCCUGUCAAGAAGAAAACAUAUAAUUGGGACACAAGAAGUUUGACACUGCAAAUUAGAAGAACUAACCAUGAAACCUGCUUUCAAAGGAAUCCAAAUCCAGCUGAUAAUCUGGCAACUGUAAACGUUAAUGAUGCAUUUACUAAUUAGAAAUGAGAAUGAGAAUAAAGGAAUGAAACUUAUUAACUUGUUUACUUCCAAAUUAUGAAGGGGAAAUGAGGAUAGAAUUUGAAUAGACCCCACAAAUUUAGGAAUGUGACCUAAAAAAUUCCUUUAAGAAUGAUAAGUGAAUUAAUAUUUGCACCCUUCAUAAAAAUUAAAAAUUCUUUUUUAUCCCAUAUUAUUAUUAUCAUUAUUAUUAUAAAUAAUUAUUUAAUAACUUGCAAUAAUGCAUUCCGAUUCAAUUAAAUAAAAAUUCACAAAUGGGAUCCGGCAUACAAAUUCGAUUAAAUAAAAAUCCACGACAAAGUUUUAAAUGAUACAAAAGCUUGAAAAGUCUUUUGCUAUGGACAGACUCCUUUACAAAGCUUGGUUAUCUAAAAAGUAAUCACAACUCCUUAAACUGCACCUUGGGCCAGCCCUUUAUUCGGUAUUCACUAGGAACAUGGGCGGAUCUAGCAUGUGACUACUGGGGGCUUGAGCCCCCACUGGCCAAAAAACAAUUGUAAAAAUAAAAAAGAAAAAUAUUUUUAUUUUCUAAUUAUCCCUCAUUAAAUUUAUUAAAAUAGUCACUA
rnacentral:lncRNA from 1 species